rnacentral:rRNA from 1 species
AUUGCCCUAGUAACGGCGAGUGAAGCGGCAACAGCUCAAAUUUGAAAUCUGGCCCUAGUGGUCCGAGUUGUAAUUUGUAGAGGAUGCUUUGGGUGCGGUGCCUUCCGAGUUCCCUGGAACGGGACGCCAGAGAGGGUGAGAGCCCCGUACGGUUGGACACCUAGCCUAUAUAUAGCUCCUUCGACGAGUCGAGUAGUUUGGGAAUGCUGCUCUAAAUGGGAGGUAUAUUUCUUCUAAAGCUAAAUACCGGCCAGAGACCGAUAGCGCACAAGUAGAGUGAUCGAAAGAUGAAAAGCACUUUGAAAAGAGGGUUAAAUAGCACGUGAAAUUGUUGAAAGGGAAGCGUUUGCGACCAGACCUUUUCCGGGCGGAUCAUCCGGCGUUCUCGCCGGUGCACUUCGCCCGGUUUAGGCCAGCAUCGGUUUUCUUAGGGGGAUAAAGGCCAGGGGAACGUAGCUCUUUCGGGAGUGUUAUAGCCCCUGGCGUAAUACCCUUCGGGGGACCGAGGACCGCGCUUUUGCAAGGAUGCUGGCGUAAUGGUCGUCAACGACCCGUCUUGAAACACGGACCAAGGAGUCGAACAUUGGUGCGAGUGUUUGGGUGUUAAACCCUCACGCGUAAUGAAAGUGAACGGAGGUGAGAGCCCUUACGGGUGCAUCAUCGACCGAUCCUGAUGUCUUCGGAUGGAUUUGAGUAAGAGCAUCACUGUUCGGACCCGAAAGAUGGUGAACUAUGCGUGGAUAGGGUGAAGCCAGAGGAAACUCUGGUGGAGGCUCGCAGCGGUUCUGACGUGCAAAUCGAUCGUCAAAUCUGCGC